rnacentral:misc_RNA from 1 species
GAUAAAGAACGUAGCGAAAUGCGAUAAGUAAUGUGAAUUGCAGAAUUCCGUGAAUCAUCGAGUCUUUGAACGCACAUUGCGCCCCCUGGUAUUCCGGGGGGCACGCCUGUCCGAGCGUCAUUGCUGCCCUCAAGCACGGCUUGUGUGUUGGGCCUCCGUCCUCCUCCCGGGGGACGGGCCCGAAAGGCAGCGGCGGCACCGCGUCCGGUCCUCGAGCGUAUGGGGCUUCGUCACCCGCUCUUGUAGGCCCGGCCGGCGCUUGCCGACACAUCAAUCUUUUUUCCAGGUUGACCUCGGAUCAGGUAGGGAUACCCGCUGAACUUAAGCAUAUCAAUAAGCGGAGGA